ACUUAAAUUGAAGAGUUUGAUCAUGGCUCAGAUUGAACGCUGGCGGCAGGCCUAACACAUGCAAGUCGAGCGGUAGCACAGAGAGCUUGCUCUCGGGUGACGAGCGGCGGACGGGUGAGUAAUGUCUGGGAAACUGCCUGAUGGAGGGGGAUAACUACUGGAAACGGUAGCUAAUACCGCAUAAUGUCGCAAGACCAAAGUGGGGGACCUUCGGGCCUCAUGCCAUCAGAUGUGCCCAGAUGGGAUUAGCUAGUAGGUGGGGUAACGGCUCACCUAGGCGACGAUCCCUAGCUGGUCUGAGAGGAUGACCAGCCACACUGGAACUGAGACACGGUCCAGACUCCUACGGGAGGCAGCAGUGGGGAAUAUUGCACAAUGGGCGCAAGCCUGAUGCAGCCAUGCCGCGUGUGUGAAGAAGGCCUUCGGGUUGUAAAGCACUUUCAGCGGGGAGGAAGGCGUUAAGGUUAAUAACCUUGUCGAUUGACGUUACCCGCAGAAGAAGCACCGGCUAACUCCGUGCCAGCAGCCGCGGUAAUACGGAGGGUGCAAGCGUUAAUCGGAAUUACUGGGCGUAAAGCGCACGCAGGCGGUCUGUCAAGUCGGAUGUGAAAUCCCCGGGCUCAACCUGGGAACUGCAUUCGAAACUGGCAGGCUAGAGUCUUGUAGAGGGGGGUAGAAUUCCAGGUGUAGCGGUGAAAUGCGUAGAGAUCUGGAGGAAUACCGGUGGCGAAGGCGGCCCCCUGGACAAAGACUGACGCUCAGGUGCGAAAGCGUGGGGAGCAAACAGGAUUAGAUACCCUGGUAGUCCACGCCGUAAACGAUGUCGAUUUGGAGGUUGUGCCCUUGAGGCGUGGCUUCCGGAGCUAACGCGUUAAAUCGACCGCCUGGGGAGUACGGCCGCAAGGUUAAAACUCAAAUGAAUUGACGGGGGCCCGCACAAGCGGUGGAGCAUGUGGUUUAAUUCGAUGCAACGCGAAGAACCUUACCUGGUCUUGACAUCCACAGAACUUUCCAGAGAUGGAUUGGUGCCUUCGGGAACUGUGAGACAGGUGCUGCAUGGCUGUCGUCAGCUCGUGUUGUGAAAUGUUGGGUUAAGUCCCGCAACGAGCGCAACCCUUAUCCUUUGUUGCCAGCGGUUCGGCCGGGAACUCAAAGGAGACUGCCAGUGAUAAACUGGAGGAAGGUGGGGAUGACGUCAAGUCAUCAUGGCCCUUACGACCAGGGCUACACACGUGCUACAAUGGCAUAUACAAAGAGAAGCGACCUCGCGAGAGCAAGCGGACCUCAUAAAGUAUGUCGUAGUCCGGAUUGGAGUCUGCAACUCGACUCCAUGAAGUCGGAAUCGCUAGUAAUCGUAGAUCAGAAUGCUACGGUGAAUACGUUCCCGGGCCUUGUACACACCGCCCGUCACACCAUGGGAGUGGGUUGCAAAAGAAGUAGGUAGCUUAACCUUCGGGAGGGCGCUUACCACUUUGUGAUUCAUGACUGGGGUGAAGUCGUAACAAGGUAACCGUAGGGGAACCUGCGGUUGGAUCACCUCCUUACCUUAAAGAA
rnacentral:rRNA from 2 species